CUUUAGUAGACGAGUCCCGAAUAGGACGAAAUGCGCAUCCUGGAU
rnacentral:hammerhead_ribozyme from 1 species